CCCAUAGGUAAGGAUACUCGCGUCCAAAUCGAGUGACGAUGGUUCGAAUCCGUCAU
rnacentral:tRNA from 1 species